rnacentral:lncRNA from 1 species
UUGACGGCACAAUGCAUACAUCGUGUUAGUGAUCAAGCAUACAUCGUGUCAGUGACCAAGCAUGCAGAAGCAGAAUGUCACUCUCAGGGAUCCAAACUAAACUUACGUUUUCAUGAAACAUAAAUAGUAACAAAUUUGGUCAGAUGAAAUGAAUACGCCGAGUCUAUCCGGAGUAUCAUAAAAGCAGUAACAUAAUUGCCAGUCCGGCAUCACCAGGCGGCCAUACAAUGCUCUUACAAGCUGCAAAAUACAAGCAGCAACUUAAUUGCCAGUCCGGCAUCACUAGGCGGCCAUACACAAUGCUCUUACAAGCUGCAAAAUACAAGCAGUAACUUAAUUGCCAGUCCGGCAUCACCAGGCGGCCAUACAGUGUACCAGCAGCCUCAUCU